CUGAGACUGAUGACAGUGCUGAUUGGAAGGAGACCAGAGAACCUCAGUCAGCUUUAAACUCUCUGAAACAUGAUUCAAGAUGUAACAAAACAUUCAGCUGCUCUGAGUGUGGGAGAAGAUUUGGCUUCAAGUCAGAUCUUAAGAGACACAUGAGGACUCAUACAGGAGAAAAGCCUUUCAGCUGCUCUGAGUGUGGUAGAGCUUUCUCUGAUAGUGGAACCCUGAAGAAACACAUGAGUACUCACACAGAAACAGAAGCUGAUGGAGAGGACUGUGGAGGACCAGAACCAGCCAGGAACUCACAUCCACUUUUACAACCAGAGACUGAAGACCAGACUGGAGACUCUUCUGACCCUGAGGCUGAUGACAUGGAAUAACGUUUGUGCCUAUAAGUCCAAGCAAAACUUCUCAAGUGUCAAACAAAAAUGUGAGGUAGGAAAAGGUACACUCUUAUUUUAAAUGUUCUAUUAAUAUUGUUUUGUCUUGUAAUGUCUGUCAUUAUAAUCAAUUAUAAUCAAGAAAUCAGACAAAUGUCACCACCCAAUAUUUUAUAGGGCCUACACAUAUAUUCACUUCUUUCUAAGUAACGUAUGUUUAGCAAGAUUCACUAUUAAUCAUGUAUCAACAUGGGAGUUUAUUCAAUGCACAAUGGAUUAAUUUUUUUAUUUUGUGUAUUAUGUUUAAGCACAAUUUAGGCCCAGCAGUCUCUGAGAGGAGACUUUUCUCUCUGUGUCAGGGAGACAGGAAGUGCAGGUUGAAAGCUAUCUUUAGUUUAAACAAGGAAGAUAUGAGGGAGGUAGCAUAGGGAAGUUAGCCUAGCAAGGUGUUUCCUGUCAGAGAGCGGAGGAGUUUUCUCUUUGAAGCAAAGCUGAGAUGGACCUAUUAUGAUCUGUAUAUGAAACUAUAAAAACUCACUUGUGCAUUGCUAUAUUCUAAGGUAAUAUGAUCAGUGACACCAAAAUGAUUAAGGUCUUUUGACAUUUAUAAUGUCUCCUCUGCCACUAAUUAGACCAUGGAAAAGCUAAUAAAGUAAAGAAAUACAAUCGUUUGAUGUGACCGAUGUGGUACACCAGGACAUGCUGACUACCCUCCAGGAUGAAAUAAAGUGAAAUCAUUUGAAGUAAACCAUCUGUGAGAACUAGCAUGUACGUUAGUAGUUGUUGUCUGGGUCACAGCGACCUAGGUGUACUUAAGAAAAGGAAGAUGAGAGGACUGUUAAAAGUAAAAAUAUCACCAGUUCAGGUCCAUCUAAAGAUGUAACGAACAUAAGGGAACUGUGGCUGUGAAUGUUUCCAACUGACACCACCCUAAACACUGAAUAAGAAGAGAGUCAUGUGGAACUUAGAUUCAGUUGUCUAUUCGACUGACUAUCGCCGGUGGUCAGUUGAUGUGUCUGAGGCAGCUCGGUUUGUUUGUUAAAAUGUAACAAAUAAAUCUGCAUGGAGUGAAUAUCAA